GCUCACUGAGGAGAUGGCAUUUAGACUGAGACUCAGAUCUGAUUGACAAGAAAACACCCAUGAUGAGACAAGAUGGCUUGGGGAAGGAGGCAGGAUUCCAGGCCCAGAGAACAGCCACUGCCAAGAUCUGGAGACAGGAAAUGUCUUGGUGUGUCCCGGGAUCAAGAGGAAGGCCAGUGUGGCAGGAGCAGAGGGAAUAACAAGGAGAGUGACAGAAGACAAGGUGAAAUAUAGAACACAGAACACUCGGAAGAGGACGGCAUAGUUCUCAGCUAAGAAAACUGAGAUUCAGACAGAGAUAGAAUUCAUUUCAGCACCCAGCUGAGAAAAGAUUAA
rnacentral:lncRNA from 1 species